rnacentral:rRNA from 1 species
UACGGAAGGCAGCAGUGGGGAAUAUUGCACAAUGGGCGCAAGCCUGAUGCAGCCAUGCCGCGUGUAUGAAGAAGGCCUUCGGGUUGUAAAGUACUUUCAGUCGUGAGGAAGGUGUUAAGGUUAAUAACCUUAGCAAUUGACGUUAGCGACAGAAGAAGCACCGGCUAACUCCUUGCCAGCAGCCGCGGUAAUACGGAGGGUGCGAGCGUUAAUCGGAAUUACUGGGCGUAAAGGGCACGCAGGCGGUUAAUUAAGUUGGAUGUGAAAUCCCCGGGCUUAACCUGGGAAUGGCAUUCAAGACUGGUUAGCUAGAGUCUUGUAGAGGGGGUAGAAUUCCAUGUGUAGCGGUGAAAUGCGUAGAGAUGUGGAGGAAUACCGGUGGCGAAGGCGGCCCCUGGACAAAGACUGACGCUCAUGUGCGAAAGCGUGGGGAGCGAAACAGGGAUUAGAUACC